GCCACCGUAGCUCAGCAGGCCAGAGCAGCUGAUUUGUAAUCAGCGGGUCGGGGGUUCGAUUCCCUUCGGUGGCUCCA
rnacentral:tRNA from 1 species